CAAUGAGCGCGAUAAGGGCAUUCGGUGGAUGCCUUGGCACCAGGAGGCGAUGAAAGACGUGGCACGCUGCGAAAAGCCAUGGGGAGCCGCGAGCAGGCUUUGAUCCGUGGAUAUCUGAAUGGGGCAACCCACCCAGCGAUGGGUAUCAUGUUCUGAAUACAUAGGGACAUGAGGCGAACCCGGGGAACUGAAACAUCUAAGUACCCGGAGGAAAAGACAUCAAUUGAGAUUCUGCUAGUAGUGGCGAGCGAACGCGGAACAGGCCAGUGGCUGUUUUUGAAGAAGCAGAACGGAAUGGAAAGUCCGGCCAGAGCGGGUGAUAGCCCCGUAUGCGUAGUGUCAGGAACAGUCCUUGAGUAGGGCGGGACACGUGAAAUCCUGUCUGAACAUGGGGGGACCACCCUCCAAGCCUAAAUACUCCCUGGUGACCGAUAGUGAACAAGUACCGUGAGGGAAAGGUGAAAAGCACCCCGACGAGGGGAGUGAAAGAGACCUGAAACCGAAUGCCUACAAGCAGUCGGAGCCUCUUAUGGGGUGACGGCGUACCUUUUGUAUAAUGGGUCAGCGAGUUUCUGUUUGCAGCAAGCUUAAGCCGUUAGGUGUAGGCGCAGCGAAAGCGAGUCUGAAUAGGGCGACGAGUUGCUGGCAGAAGACCCGAAACCGAGUGAUCUAGCCAUGGCCAGGCUGAAGGUGCGGUAACACGCACUGGAGGGCCGAACCCACGCCUGUUGAAAAAGUCGGGGAUGAGCUGUGGCUAGGGGUGAAAGGCCAAUCAAACUCGGAAAUAGCUGGUUCUCCGCGAAAUCUAUUGAGGUAGACCGUCGAGUAUUACCCCGGGGGGUAGAGCACUGGAUGGGCUAGGGGGGCCCAAAGCCUUACCAAACCUAACCAAACUCCGAAUACCCGGAAGUAUGAGCUCGGCAGACAGACAGUGGGUGCUAAGGUCCAUUGUCGAGAGGGAAACAGCCCAGACCACCAGCUAAGGCCCCCAAAUCGUGGCUAAGUGGGAAAGGAUGUGAGGAUUCCAAAACAACCAGGAGGUUGGCUUAGAAGCAGCCAUCCUUUAAAGAAAGCGUAAUAGCUCACUGGUCUAAUAGAAACCUUGCGCCGAAAAUGUAACGGGGCUCAAGCCACGUGCCGAAGCUGUGGGUGCAUUCUAUGAAUGCGCGGUAGCGGAGCGUUCCGUAGGUCUGUGAAGGAGACGGGGUGACCCUCUCUGGAGAUAUCGGAAGUGCGAAUGCUGACAUGAGUAGCGACAAACAGUGCGAGAAACACUGUCGCCGAAAGUCCAAGGGUUCCUGCGCAAGGUUAAUCCGCGCAGGGUGAGCCGGCCCCUAAGGCGAGGGCGAAAGCCGUAGUCGAUGGAAACCGGGCAAAUAUUCCCGGGCCUGCCAGAAGUGACGAAUACAAUAUGUUGUCGGGUCUUAUCGGAUUGAUCCGGCUUUUGGAGUAUUCCAGGAAAUAGCUCUGGCAUAUAGACCGUACCCGAAACCGACACAGGUGGACUGGUAGAGAAUACCAAGGCGCUUGAGAGAACGAUGCUGAAGGAACUAGGCAAAUUACUUGCGUAACUUCGGGAUAAGCAAGACCCGUCAGUGGGCAACCAUCGGCGGGUGGCACAGACCAGGGGGUAGCGACUGUUUAGUAAAAACACAGGGCUGUGCGAAGUCGAGAGACGACGUAUACGGCCUGACGCCUGCCCGGUGCCGGAAGGUUAAGAGGAGGUGUGCAAGCACCGAAUUGAAGCCCCGGUAAACGGCGGCCGUAACUAUAACGGUCCUAAGGUAGCGAAAUUCCUUGUCGGGUAAGUUCCGACCUGCACGAAUGGCGUAACGACUUCCCCGCUGUCUCCAGCAUCGGCUCAGCGAAAUUGAAUUCCCCGUGAAGAUGCGGGGUACCCGCGGUCAGACGGAAAGACCCUAUGAACCUUUACUGCAGCUUUGCAGUGGCAUCAGAGACAUUCUGUGUAGGAUAGGUGGGAGGCUUUGAAACCGGGGCGCCAGUUCCGGUGGAGCCAUCCUUGAAAUACCACCCUGACUGUUUCUGAUGUCUAACCGAGGCCUGUUAGCCAGGUCCGGGACCCUGCAUGGUGGGCAGUUUGACUGGGGCGGUCGCCUCCCAAAGUGUAACGGAGGCGCGCGAUGGUGGGCUCAGGCCGGUCGGAAACCGGCUGUCGAGUGCAAUGGCAUAAGCCCGCCUGACUGUGAGAGUGACAGCUCGAUCAGAGACGAAAGUCGGCCAUAGUGAUCCGGUGGUCCCGCGUGGAAGGGCCAUCGCUCAACGGAUAAAAGGUACUCUAGCAGCCUGUCGGGUUGGGGUACCCUGUGAAGGGGUAAGGCUGUAGAGUGUCGCGAUGAGCCGCUUCAUCCCGUUUGACCGAUCCCAGCCGUAUCUUCUGCCGCCUGAUCUGACGUCGUGGCUUCCGGCUGACGAUAUGGCGCAUUUCAUUGUCGCAGCUGUUGAGCGGGUUCCGAUGAGUGCGUUCUGCGUGCCAGUGCGCACGGGAGGCAAGGCGCAGUAUCAUCCGCGCCUGAUGCUGGCCCUUCUGAUCUUCAGCUAUGCGAACGGGUUGUUUUCCUCACGCCGGAUCGAGCGGGCGACAUAUCGCGACAUCGGGGUACGCUUCGUGGCGGCGAACCUGCAUCCGGAUCAUGAUACGAUUGCGACCUUCCGCCGGACGAACCGGACAGCCAUUGAAGCUGCAUUUGCGCAGGUCCUGCUUCUGGCGCGCGAGACGGGUCUGCUGCGUCUGGGUGUCGUAUCGAUUGACGGCACGAAAAUUGAUGCCGACGCUUCGAAAUACCGUUCCCUGCGCUACGACCGGAUCAGGGCACUGCGCGAACAGCUGGCGGUGGAUAUCGCGAAACUGAUGGACCAGGCGGAGCACGCAGAUGCCACAGACAGAGAUCCGCAGGCCCUGCCAGAAGAGCUUGCCCGACGGGAAACACUGAAAGCGAAGCUGGACGAAGCCUGCGCCCGGCUGGAAGCAGAUGCGAAAGCGCAGGCCGAGGCGGCGCGACCGGCAUACGAGAAAAAGAAGGCGAUGUAUGACGCAAAAACAGGGCGUCGCGGUCGGGCGCCGAAACCGCCGGAUGAUGAACCACCACCCGACCGGCAGAUCAGUCUGACCGAUCCCGACAGCCGCCUCAUGCGGCGUUCGGACGCCCACGAGUUCCGGCAGGCUUACAAUGCCCAGGCCGUGGUCUGCGCCGAAGGCAGUCAGUUGAUCGUGACAACCGACGUUGUCGCCACGUCAGCGGACGCGCCAUCCUUUGCCAGCACCGUGCUGUCGAUGGAAAACACGAUCGGUCUCCCAAAGACAGUGCUUGCCGACACCGGUUACGCCAGCGGGCAGGCGGUCCGGGACCUGCGGAAAAAAGGCAUUGAUCCGCUGGUCGCCAUCGGACGGCCCUGUGCCCGCAGGCCUUAUGACUUCCGACCACCUCCUGAAAACAGGGAACCACGCCGGAUCACCGAACCCUGGCGGCUUGCCAUGAAGAAAAAACUGGAAACCACAAAAGCCGGAAAUAUUUACAGACUACGAAAACAGACCGUUGAACCGGUCUUUGGAAUUAUCAAAAGCAUCAUGGGCUUCAGAAGAUUCAGUCUGCGUGGCCUUGCAAAAGUCACGACUGAAUGGACCCUCGUCGCUCUCGCAUACAACUGCAAAAGAAUGGCACGGCUUCAGGCAGCAUAAGCCGGGUCAGCCUCGGCGUUAUCAGCCGCAAAAUGCCCAACCCGACAGGCUGCUAGGGAUAACAGGCUGAUCUCCCCCAAGAGUCCACAUCGACGGGGAGGUUUGGCACCUCGAUGUCGGCUCAUCACAUCCUGGGGCUGGAGCAGGUCCCAAGGGUUCGGCUGUUCGCCGAUUAAAGUGGUACGUGAGCUGGGUUUAGAACGUCGUGAGACAGUUCGGUCCCUAUCUGCCGUGGGUGUUGGAGACUUGAGAGGAUUUGUCCCUAGUACGAGAGGACCGGGAUGAACAUACCUCUGGUGCACCGGUUGUCGCGCCAGCGGCACAGCCGGGUAGCUAAGUGUGGACGGGAUAACCGCUGAAAGCAUCUAAGCGGGAAACCCACCUCAAAACAAGGUCUCCCCAAGGGCCGUGAUAGACCAUCACGUCAAUAGGCCAGGUGUGGAAGCGCAGUAAUGCGUGCAGCUGACUGGUCCUAAUCGCCCAAUAGGCUCAUUCCA
rnacentral:rRNA from 1 species